rnacentral:misc_RNA from 1 species
UCUAAGCUCCUACAGAACAUCC